rnacentral:rRNA from 1 species
CUUCCGUAGGUGAACCUGCGGAAGGAUCAUUACCGAGUGAGGGCCCUCUGGGUCCAACCUCCCACCCGUGUUUAUUUUACCUUGUUGCUUCGGCGGGCCCGCCUUAACUGGCCGCCGGGGGGCUUACGCCCCCGGGCCCGCGCCCGCCGAAGACACCCUCGAACUCUGUCUGAAGAUUGUAGUCUGAGUGAAAAUAUAAAUUAUUUAAAACUUUCAACAACGGAUCUCUUGGUUCCGGCAUCGAUGAAGAACGCAGCGAAAUGCGAUACGUAAUGUGAAUUGCAAAUUCAGUGAAUCAUCGAGUCUUUGAACGCACAUUGCGCCCCCUGGUAUUCCGGGGGGCAUGCCUGUCCGAGCGUCAUUUCUGCCCUCAAGCACGGCUUGUGUGUUGGGCCCCGUCCUCCGAUCCCGGGGGACGGGCCCGAAAGGCAGCGGCGGCACCGCGUCCGGUCCUCGAGCGUAUGGGGCUUUGUCACCCGCUCUGUAGGCCCGGCCGGCGCUUGCCGAUCAACCCUAAAUUUUUAUCCCAGGUUUGACCUCGGAUCAGGUAGGGAUACCCGCUGAACUUAAGCAUAUCAAUAAGCGGAGGAACG